rnacentral:rRNA from 1 species
GACGAACGCUGGCGGCGUGCUUAACACAUGCAAGUCGAACGGUAAGGCCCUUUCGGGGGUACACGAGUGGCGAACGGGUGAGUAACACGUGGGUGAUCUGCCCUGCACUUUGGGAUAAGCCUGGGAAACUGGGUCUAAUACCGGAUAGGACUACGCGAUGCAUGUCGUGUGGUGGAAAGCUUUUGCGGUGUGGGAUGGGCCCGCGGCCUAUCAGCUUGUUGGUUGGGUGAUGGCCUACCAGGGCGACGACGGGUAGCCGGCCUGAGAGGGUGUCCGGCCACACUGGGACUGAGGUGCGACCAGGACGCCUACGGGAGGCAGGGGGGGGGAAGAGUGCGAAAUGGGCGCAGGCCUGAUGCAGCGUCGCCGCGUGGGAAAUGACGGCCUUCAGGUAGGAAACCCCUUGCAGCACACAAGGCGCGUAAGGAACGGUAUGUGCAGAAGAGGCACCGGCCACCUACGU